rnacentral:rRNA from 1 species
AGUGAACGCUAGCGAUAGGCUUAACACAUGCAAGUCGAGGGGCAGCACGCUUUCGGGUGGUGGCGACCGGCGCACGGGUGAGUAACGCGUAUGCAACCUGCCCAUAACUUGGGGAUAGCCCGGCGAAAGUCGGAUUAAUACCCGAUAACACAGGGAUUCCACCUGGGAUUCUUAGUUAAAGAUUCAUUGGUUAUGGAUGGGCAUGCGUUCCAUUAGAUAGUUGGCAGGGUAACGGCCUCCCAAGUCUACGAUGGAUAGGGGUUCUGAGAGGAAGGUCCCCCACACUGGUACUGAGACACGGACCAGACUCCUACGGGAGGCAGCAGUGAGGAAUAUUGGUCAAUGGUCGAGAGACUGAACCAGCCAAAUCGCGUGAAGGACCACGGUAUUAUGUAUUGUAAACUUCUUUUAUAAGGGAAUAAAAAAGGUUACGAGUAACCUAUUGUAUGUACCUUAUGAAUAAGCAUCGGCUAACUCCGUGCCAGCCGCCGCAGUAAGAC